AUUUGUAAAACUGCCGCACAGGAACUCGAUAAACUUCUAAUAAAAAAUUGUGAACAUACCAGGGAUUCAAAUGUCAGAAAGUUUUCUGCUGGGUAUGUGUAUGCUCACACAAUAUCAUCAAAUAUAGACAAUCUUUUAUGUAAAUAUCCGAAAGAUAUGUAUGAGCUUAUAACAUGUUUAUUGCGGCAGAAUUUGUACAAACAGUCAAAACGGGGUUAUUGGUAUGAAAAACUGGCAUGGAUAGAGUGGAAGUAUUUAAAAAAUCAUGAACAGGCUGUUCAUACCCUGACAAAGGCUCUAAUGGACAAAACAAUUAAUGAAGUUGCAAAACACAAUUUGUCUCAGCUGGGUAGAAAAUUCAAGGAAAUGAAAAAUGUAAAUUUACUGAAUUCUACUCGUGAUGAGAUUUGUUUAAAUGUUAUUGAUCCUCCUGAUCAUGUUCCAUUUAAAGAAGUUGUGAUUAAUGCUGUCACUGAUAGGGAGUAAGUUAAACGCUGAUUAAUUGUUUUUUUU